GCUUCACCUUCCCCUCCAGCUGUGGGCGGUGCGGGGCGGCGUCAGGGCCCACUGCCACAGCGGCGUCACCGCAUCGCCCGGGGUGGGAGUGGGGC
ensembl:miRNA gga-mir-1777 gga-mir-1777